rnacentral:rRNA from 1 species
GAUGAACGCUGGCGGCGUGCCUAAUACAUGCAAGUCGAACGGAAGGACGCUAAGCUUGCUUCUCUGAUGUUAGCGGCGGACGGGUGAGUCACGCGUGGAUACCCUACCUAUCAGUCUGGGAUAACUUCGAGACACCGGCUAUAAUACCGGAUAAUCUUUUGCACCGCAGUGUUCAAAAGUGAGUGUCGGUCUUUCUGUCUCUUAUAGAUGCAUCCGCGCUGCAUUAGCUAGUUGGUACGGUAACGGCUUAUCAAGGCAACGAUGCAUAUCCGACCUGCGAGGGUGAUAGGCCACACGGGAACUGAGACACGGUCAAGACUCCUACGGGAGGCAGCAGUAGGGAAUCUUCGGCAAUGGGCGAAAGCCUGACGGAGCAACGCCGCGUGAGUUAUGAAGGUCUUCGGAUCGUAAAGCUCUGUUAUUAGGGAAGAACAUAUGUGGAAGUAACUGUGCACAUCUUGACGGUACCUAAUCAGAAAGCCACGGCUAACUACGUG